UUUUUUUAUGGAGAGUUUGAUCCUGGCUCAGGACGAACGCUGGCGGCGUGCUUAACACAUGCAAGUCGAACGGAAAGGCCUAGCUUGCUAGGUACUCGAGUGGCGAACG
rnacentral:rRNA from 1 species